rnacentral:rRNA from 1 species
UCCUCGUACCUUUUGCAUCAUGAUUUAGCCAGCACAUUCAAGCAAAGAGAACUUUAGUUUGAAACCCCGAAACUGCGUGAGCUACUCCAAGACAGCCUAUCUAUAGGGCAAACCCGUCUCUGUGGCAAAAGAGUGGGAAGAACUUCGAGUAGGGGUGACAGACCUAUCGAACACAGUUAUAGCUGGUUGCCUGAGAAUUGGAUAGAAGUUCAGCCCUACAGCUUCUCUUUAAACUAUAGGAGUUAGUCAAAGGGGGUACAGCCCCUUUGAAUAAAGACACAACUUUUCCAGGAGGAUAAAGAUCAUAAUUUUUAAGGCGAAACGUUUUGGUGGGCCUAAAAGCAGCCAUCCUAACAGAAAGCGUUAAAGCUCAAACGUACUAUCCUGAUAUCUUAAUCUUAAUCCCCUAACAUUACCAGGCCUCCCCAUGCACGCAUGGGGGCGACCCUGCUAGAAUGAGUAAUAAGAGAGCCCUCUCUCCCAGCACAUGUGUAAAUCGGAGCGGAUCCCCCACCGACCACUAACGGCCCCUAACGACCACGAAACUGGAGGAAUCCUCGAAAACCGUCCACCGUUAACCGUGCCCCGGUGUGACCCCCGGAAAAGACUAAAAGAAAGAGAAGGAACUCGGCAAACAAGCUUCGCCUGUUUACCAAAAACAUCGCCUCUUGCAAGAAUAAGAGGUCCCGCCUGCCCAGUGACAAUAUGGUUCAACGGCCGCGGUAUUUUGACCGUGCAAAGGUAGCGUAAUCACUUGUCUUUUAAAUGAAGACCUGUAUGAAUGGCAUAACGAGGGCUUAACUGUCUCCUCUUUCCAGUCAAUGAAAUUGAUCUCCCCGUGCAGAAGCGGGGAUAAGCACAUAAGACGAGAAGACCCUAUGGAGCUUUAGACACUAAGACAGACCAUGUUAAACAACCCACGCAUAACGACCCGAACUUAAUGGCCACCUGUCCUAAUGUCUUCGGUUGGGGCGACCAUGGGGUAGCACAAAACCCCCAUGCGGAACAGGAGGACUCCCACAAGCGAGAGCCACAACUCUAACUAACAGAAUAUCUGACCUUACAUGAUCCGGCCUCGGCCGAUCAACGGACCAAGUUACCCUAGGGAUAACAGCGCAAUCCCCUUCUAGAGCCCAUAUCGACAAGGGGGUUUACGACCUCGAUGUUGGAUCAGGACAUCCUAUGGUGCAG